CAGAGAAUAGUUUAAUUAAAAGAAUUAUAGCUUUGGGAGUUGUAGGUACAAAUAUAAAGUUUUGUUUCUCUGA
rnacentral:tRNA from 1 species